GAUGAACGCUGGCGGCGUGCUUAAUACAUGCAAGUCGAGCGAACGGACGAGAAGCUUGCUUCUCUGAUGUUAGCGGCGGACGGGUGAGUAACACGUGGAUAACCUACCUAUAAGACUGGGAUAAUUUCGGGAAACCGGAGCUAAUACCGGAUAAUAUUUUGAACCGCAUGGUUCAUAAGUGAAAGACGGUCUUGCUGUCACUUAUAGAUGGAUCGCGGCUGCAUUGGCUAGUUGGUAAGGUAACGGCUUACCAAGGCGACGAUGCAUAGCCGACGGGAGAGGGUGAUCGCCCACACUGGAGCUGGAACACGGUCCAGACUCCUACGGUAGGCAGCAGUAGGGAAUCGUCCGCAGUAGUCGAGAGCCUGACGGAGCAGCGCCACGUGUGUGAUAAAGGUCUUCGGAUCGUAAAACUCUGUUUUUAGGGAAAAACAUAUUUGUAAGUAACUGUACACAUCUUGACGGUACCUAGUCAGAAAGCCACGGCUAACUACGUG
rnacentral:rRNA from 1 species